rnacentral:rRNA from 1 species
GUGAGGAAUUUUCCGCAAUGGGCGAAAGCCUGACGGAGCAAUGCCGCGUGAAGGAUGAAGGCCUAUGGGUUGUAAACUUCUUUUCUUAGAGAAGAAUAUUGACGGUAUCUGAGGAAUAAGCAUCGGCUAACUCUGUGCCAGCAGCCGCGGUAAGACAGAGGAUGCAAGCGUUAUCCGGAAUGAUUGGGCGUAAAGCGUCUGUAGGUGGCUUCAAAAGUCUCCUGUCAAAGAUCAGGGCUUAACCCUGGGCCGGCAGGAGAAACUCUGAGGCUAGAGUUUGGUAGGGGCAGAGGGAAUGCCCGGUGGAGCGGUGAAAUGCGUAGAGAUCAGGAGGAACACCAAAGGCGAAAGCACUCUGCUGGGCCACAACUGACACUGAGAGACGAAAGCGAGGGGAGCAAAAGGGAUUAGAUACCCGAGUAGUCC